rnacentral:lncRNA from 1 species
GUUGAGUGUUUUUUUUUAUUUUUUUGAGUCAAAAAGUGUAAUCUUGGCUGAAUGAGUUCCUGAUGGUCCUGUGGAUGAUCACAUGGGACCAUUAGGAACCCAUCCAGCAUAAUAACAUGAUUCAUGAAGAUGAAUUAGGAAUUCAUAAUGGCUCCAUGGAGCAUUGUCCUAGUUCUUCACCAGAACAACUCUAUCCCAAAGGCAUUUUCUGUGAAACACAUUUGGCAAAAAAAUGCAUAUCAGAGCUGAAUCAUUUGCUCUGUUCUCCAGAUUUGACACCCUGUGACUUUUUAUUCAAGACCAAAAAUGUGCUAAAGGAGACCCCAUUUUGAAUUCAAGGAGGAAUCCAUGGAAUCUAUUUUAAAUCCAUGGAUACUUCUACCAACAAUGACAUACAUGCAUGAAUCAGCCUAUUCAGUUCCAAAAGUGCUCUUGACUGUUGCAAAAAGGUUUAGGCUCAACAACCUUCUUCCUUCCAUUCAACUUUGGCUCUUGUUGUCUGUAUGAACAGUCUGG